rnacentral:lncRNA from 1 species
CUCCUGUCACGACGGCGAAGGCACCUCAACAAAGUGCCCCGCAGUCGAUGGUUAUUUGAUGAGUCCUAAAUCUCAUGGACAACACAGUGAGGAGUUCUCUGCUUGUAGUCAUACAGCAAUCUCCAAAUAUAUAAGCUCAGAGGAUGCAGCAUGCCUGAGAUACGCUGCAUCGAAGGAUGCUAUCGGUGUCUACCCCCGUUCAUUUCUACCUCCACCACACGGCAAUCUAACAAGCCACAGAAGGGAGGAAUCAUCUAAGAAAGUGGCACGUCACAACAAACUACAAUGAAAACAACGAGACAGAUAUUGCAAGCAUCGAGAGCCGCGUUCUUUCGCCGUUGCAUUCUGGAUUGCACGUUGUUAAUGAUAUUUCUCGCAAAAAGAUACUGCACGUGAGCCUAUUUAGGUGGCUUUUGCUAUUGUAAUGUAAUCGUACUGUCUAAUAAAGUUUCUCAUUUGUUUUGUUUUUGCAAAACUUA